CAGAGCCUUUUAAAUGGCUAAUAGAGGAAACCACUCCUAUAAAUGGCAGUAAUCCAACAGUAUGAGAGCUGAACAGCCAGGAUUAGAAUAAAGCAAGCAGUUUUAAUAUGAAGAC